UGUUAAUUUUUUAUUCAAUUAUGAUGUUAAAUUGCAAGUUUAAAGGUGACUAUAAGUUAAAA
rnacentral:tRNA from 1 species